ensembl:snoRNA
UUUGCCCCUAGAGACAUUGGAGGUGUGGCCACCAUGCCACAUGUGUGUAAGGAGGUGACAGAGAAGAGAGAGGCUAAGUCUACUCCUCUACACUUAGUAUCUGGUCUGUAAAUAUCUGAAUGACUAGUAGCCUAACACU